rnacentral:snoRNA from 1 species
AAACCAUGGUGUGGGCAUUGAUCUUGGUAGCCCUUGAAUCUCUCCCACGCUUCACUGAAGCCUUCUAAGUUCUUCUGUUGAAAG